UUCAUUUAUUUCGUUACAUUCCACGCGCCUCCUGUGCCGGGUGCUGCCCCCGGGGAGGAUGUCCCUGCCGACCCCCACCUUGUCGGCCGCCGCUCCUGGCCCGGGCGAAGUGGAGCUCCGGGAAAGGCAGGAAUCUGGGUGACCCCAUCCAAAUCCCACCAAGGCCGGCGUCCGCCGGAAAAUGCCACCACCAAAACCAGAGGAGUUGAGAGGUCUGAUAAACCGAAGGAGGAAAAACCAGUUGCUCCCGAGGAGGAAUCUCCCCAGAAACUUUUGAAUCAUUACAAAUCCCGGGAACGGCGAUGCUUUUGCACUUAAUAGAAACUAAAACAACGCCGAGGGCAAAGUCAUGUCAAAACAACAAAGUAUCGUGAAGGUAAACUGGAUUUACUCCCUGGCUUUCUGCUGAGUACGACACGCAAAGUUGUAAAUAGCUGAAUGUAUCUUCACUGCUCAUUUUAAAGGAGUUGCAUAGGAGGCAAAUUAUUUUUUAACAGAGAUGUAAGUUCUCAUUUCAAUAUCAACUCUUUGAAAUGUUCAGCUUCAUGGUACGGGUCACAACCACUGUGAGAAGAGACCCAUUUUGUUUUGAUUUAAGCACUGGUAAUGAAGCAGAAAAAAAUAUAGAAAAUACAAGAGAAAGAAUAUUGCUCAGUUUUCAAAUGCUGAUUGGUUACAAAACUAUUGGGGAAAAUCUUAAAAGAAUGAACAUUUUGAAUUUUGAAGACCUGGAAACAUUUAAACUAAUUUUAUCACAGAAACAUCAUAGUUAAAACUAAACAUUUACUCUAUUUUGUUUUCUUCAAAAUGCAAUUUUUAUAUUCCAAGUGCUAGAAAUUGUUUUGAAUGCCUGUUGUUCACCAAAAUCAUAUUCCAGUGCCUGAUGAGCAUAUUUCAAUGUUUUCUGCACCAGGUGCUAGGUUUAAAAGUAAUAUUUAAACAAAUUUCUUUCUCCCUGUUCUAGUUUGGGAAAUUAGUUUUCCAUACUGCAGUGCAGUCUGAAACACUGUGGCUGUGGGUUCUGCCUCAGUGUUGCUCCUUCCCCCAUCAGAGUCAAUUUUGUGUAGGUGGACAAGAAAAUGAGGGAUGACCUCUGGGUAUUAGGCUUUAAAAUAAGAAAUGUAACUUGUAUUCUAUAAUUUUAUUUCUCCUGAACAGUAAGCAAAUGGUCACAGUAGAGGGAAGGACUCACUCUGUGGCUGGUGUCCAAAUUAAAGCAGUCAGCUAAAGAAUAGCCCUUCCCUCCUCACAUCGAGAGACUGAGGAAUCUCACUUGGGACAUCGGGAUCUCACUUCUCCUCUGUGUCCUGCUUGUGAGAGAUAAUAUUUCAGACAGAGGGAGGUAGGUGGCAGAGGAAGACUGCAGCUUGAGAGAGUAAGUGUCUCGAUGGAAGGAAACAAGAAAUUCAUGUUUUCAGCAGAGCACAAACAGAGAACUUAGUCCUCACAGCUGCAAAAUCCAACUCCAUCUUCAGAAAUGAGGCUGGAAAAACAAACAAGAAGGGGAGAGGAAAACAAUAAGAAAGGAAUGAACAAACAUACUAACACCACAGGGCUUUUUUGCUGGGAUCUUCAUGCUGGAUGGUCAUACUUUUUAAGAAGAAUCUCUUCUCAUGCUGAAGGCGGGCACUUCCCUGAAGAGCAAAGAGUUUUACCUGUACCUAUGAAUCAGUCAGUGAGCUGGCACAGGAGCCGGGGAAUUGGCUGGGACCUGGCUUUACUGGUUUUGCUGUGCAGAGAUGCUGCUGCCUCCAGAAGCCCUUGUGCACGUUCCUGGGGUAAGCAGGUAGCUGCUUGCCAGGCAGCUGAAGCAGGGGCUGAGGGUGAUUUCCAGGGAAAUCAGAAACACUCAAGAAAAAACUGUUGGGGAAAGCUUGUCAUCGGCUCCAUGCUCCAGAUGUCCAGAGGAAGAUCAGGAUACUCAGGAACCCCUUACAGCUCUUUUCUCUCUAGAUAUUAUAUAUAAUAAUAAAUAUUUAUGCUGUGUGCCUUGUCCCAGCCUCCUGCCCUCCCAAGGACAGAAGUUUGUCUUUCAGCAUGUCCCUCCAGCCGGCAUGUGGCAAACCAUGUUUCAGUCUCUUGCCUUCCAGCACCAGGCAAACUCCACAGUCCUCGCAUUCCUGCCGCAUGGGACACCCCACUCCUGCCUUUUCCCACAUGGAGCACAGCCUGCUGCCAUGCUCAGGGGGAAAACACACACUGAUUAUUGGGUGCUGUGCCCUUUCCCAGGGGGAGCUUUAAGCUUAUGCCUCCCUUCUCUGCCAGAGUCCUCCUUUCUACCCUUUUAACUGGAGCCAAGUGGCAGCUCCAGUGUGGUUCCUUCAGUUUGUGUGGUGAGACUUCACUCUGCGUGUGCCUUCAGCAGAUGUCCUCCACUUCUGCAGGCCCAGUUUGGAUUUGGACAUUUUCCUAGGAAGCUGCACCCUCAACUCAGCCCUGCAUAAGCAGCAUUCCUGGUGUGGACGGCCAGCUGGCUGUUACAACCUUUUUUCACACCAUGCUAUGUAAAACUACACAGGGCAGGUCUUGUUGAUGUGUGAAAAACGCUUCUAACAGUCUGCUCCCAUGUGCACUGAGGUUUCCAGCUCAGAGACUCUCUGACCCCCAGUGAGCAACAGUGCUGGAAACAAGGAAAUGACUUUCUAUUGGCAGGGAAGGGAGAAGAAAAUGAGUUGAGGAACAGGCUUGGUUUUCAGAAGAACAGAAGUUUCCAGAAGCAUGCUGAUUGAGGGUUGGCACUGUGGGCCAACAGCAAGUGCAGUAAGAAUGACCCUAAAGAAACACUUGUUAUACACACAGCUCUUUUAAAAGACUGGUUUACUGAUUAUUUUACAUGUAUUGACUACUUUCCACUGGUCAGUUUGCGCAUAAUACAUGUAUAUUUGGCUUUUCUGGGUAAAUGGGGCUUGUGACUGCUCAGAAUGGCACACCACUGGUGUAUCAGUCACACAGGACAUAAAGCCAGAUAAACAUAUUCUGACAUGUUGUCACAAAUGGACAGCUCAUUAUAAAGGAGGCAAUAAAAGUGGUUAAAAAGUG